rnacentral:lncRNA from 1 species
GCCUGUCUAAAGUUUAGUCAACCUGAAGGAAACUUUAAAAUGAUGUUUUCACUAGCGUGGGAGUGGGAGGCUGACUCCCUAAUGUGGCUAUGGAACUUUGGGCAAGAUGAGCCAAGUUGUCCUUUGUCAGCUUAUGUCUAAUUCAAGAGUAUGACC